GAUGAACGCUGGCGGCGUGCUUAACACAUGCAAGUCGAACGGAAAGGCUCCUGCUUGCAGGGGCACUCGAGUGGCGAACGGGUGAGUAACACGUGGGUGAUCUGCCCUGCACUUCGGGAUAAGCCUGGGAAACUGGGUCUAAUACCGGAUAGGACCAUCGCUUAGUGUCGGUGGUGGAAAGUUUUUUUGGUGGGGGAUGAGCUCGCGGCCUAUCAGCUUGUGGGUGGGGGAGUGGCCUACCAAGGCGUCGACGGGUAGCCGGCCUGGGAGGGUGUACGGCCACAUUGGGACUGAGAUACGGCCCAGACUCCUACGGGAGGCAGCAGUGGGGAAUAUUGCACAAUGGGCGCAAGCCUGAUGCAGCGACGCCGCGUGGGGGAUGACGGCCUUCGGGUUGUAAACUCCUUUCGCCAGGGACGAAGCGAAAGUGACGGUACCUGGAUAAGAAGCACCGGCUAACUACGUG
rnacentral:rRNA from 1 species